rnacentral:rRNA from 1 species
CCCUAUUAUAUUUAAUGUAUUUCUAAGUUUUGAGUAGUAUAUGAUUUGGUCAGGAAACUUAAAGAAUUUGGCGGUGUAUAUUCUAAUUAGAGGAAUAUGUUUUUUAAUUGAUAGUCCACAAUUAUCUUACUUAAAUUUAUUUAUUUUGUAUAUCUCCGUCUAAAAAAGAUUUUUUAAAAUAUUUUUUAUAUUUUAUAAUUUAAAAUAAGUCAGGUCAAGGUGCAGGUUAUAUUUGAGUUAAAAUGUAUUACAAUAAAUAUAUUUGUGGACUUGGGUUGGAAUGAUUUAGUGAAAUUGGAUUUAUAAGUAAGGAGGUUUUUAUUAUAAUUUACUGAAUAAUGUUAAUAUACAUGCACACAUC